GUGACUCCGCACCCCAGUCCUGCCACACUGCCUGUGCUCUGGUUCCGGGGGACUCUGGAUGUUCCUCCCCUCCCCGACAGCCAUGACUGCAGUCCGUGCGCCCGUGACCUGGCCUCUCCCAUCCUUCUAAAUACAAAAGGAGGACCUUCAGUCACAGCCUUCUGGGAGGCACUUCACAGAGCUCCAAUAAAUGGAAGGCAACACUGAACUCAGCUCGACCCCACCAGGCCCAGAGGGGAGCCCUACACACCAGCCGGGAGAAAAGGAAAGAAGGAGGGUAACUGGAGAGCCCCGCCCCCUGAGGACAGCACAGUCACUCUGCCCUAUUUACUGGUCUCCUGCUGGUUCCCAAGCAAAGCACAUCCCUUGGGUCCAGCAACAUCCAUCUCUGAAGUACCUAAACCUCUGUGGCAGAAAACCCCAUGCAUGCUCAGUAACAGAACCAACAUUGUAUCUGGGAUUGCUAUGGGCCCAGUUAGAAGACUACCUUUCCCAGACUUCCUUGAAGCUAAGAGGAGUCAUGUGACCAAACUCUAGCCCAAGAGCUAAGCGCAGAGUGUGGGGUUUCUGGAAAAACUCCAUACAACUGCAAGAAAUAAAAAUAAAA